AGGACCACCAGCACCUGUCCCUCAGAGAAGCUCAGCUCAUCAUGGUGGUCGGCCUGGCAGUCGUACAGUGCCUGAACCCGCCGACUCGAUGUGCCUCGGGGCUGAUGAAAAGCAACCAACCAAUGAUCUGCGAGGAAGUGGCUGUGGGGCGGGGCCUCUGCUGUUGCUCUCAAAGCUCUGAGAGCGCUGAUUGGUGGGAGAUCCAUUGGGCGGAGCUUUACUGGCAGGGUGCAGGAAGUGGGAGGAGCUACCGUCACUAUCUGCCCUCCGAAAACCUAACGGAGAGAUAAAUGAAAAAAUUUGGAAUCAAGUUAUUUUAAGGAACAUGUGAUUAAAUCAUGUUAAGUACAUUUAGAACAUGUAGUGAAACCAUUUAAUUGUUUUGUCUGUCUGAAAUGCCAAAACAACUAAAAUAUAUUCAUAAUGUCAUCAGAGAACCAUUUAUCAUAGUUGCAUAUGAUCGAUUCAACAGACAGCAGACAGAUAAAACAGACAUGGAUCUGAGAGGAAGGAGCUGGAUGUUACAGAACAGGAAGUACCUCUGUCUGGUCGUUCAGUCAGCGAACUGAGAGGAGAAGCUGGACUGGAGAGAGAGAGACAGAGAGGGAAAGGUAGAGAGGGACUGGUUUAUUAUCUGUAGCGUUUCCAUUCAACAUCAAUCUGUAAUUCAGCUUCACUCCAUUAGAGGGUAGUACAGUCUCUUAGUUCACAUGAAGAAGAGCUGCUUCAGUACACACUGACACGCCCUAUCCUCACUUUGUUUAAAAUUUAGUUGAAAUUGAAGCAUUGAGGUUCUAUGUUUCCACUGAGUGAAAUAUUCAAAUACAAGACUCUAUAUUUUUAUGCUUCAGCUUUUCUGCUGACACAUUUGGUACAUUUAUAUGUUCACUAGAAUUUAGCUUUAAGUUCAGAGAGUUUGAACAAACUUUGGGCAAAAAUUAGAAAUUUAUGUCAGAUUUAGGAGUUUUUUUUUUUUUUUUUAAUUUAAAGCUUAUUUAACAUACAAUAUGUGGGACAUACAAUAUGUUAGAUAUCCUGUCACACUCUGCACAAUGGUUUAAUGGCACUUGACUGUAGAAUCAGCAGUAGUGGAUGGAGUGCAUUAAUUCAUAUUUUUGUUGCAGAAAUUAUUUCUUCUUUGUGUGGAUGGAAACCCACCUUAAUGUCACCACUGCUUUUUCUCUACUGUCCAAUAGGGGAGUAUUAGGGGAUGUGUUUUCUCAACUGAACCAUCAACAGCAAUAAUGGAGAAAAGCCUGCUCAUUCCUGUUGCUAAGCAGCUGUUGUUCUAGACACGAAUGCACUGUAAGACCAAGAUAAUAAAUUAUCUAACAAUAUAAUCCCAUUUAACCUUCUUCAAUGUACACACCUGUGCGGCGACCAUGUUUGUUGGUCAUAGCACGAUCCUUUCUAUAAUGUGUUCUGUAAUUAACUCUCCUAAAACUAGGGAGAAAAAUGUAGUUUCUUGUGUAAAAAAAAUGUAAAAUCCUACCUGUUGGUACCUCACCUGUCAUGACAUCAUUCCAAUACUGAUCCAAUCAAAAGCCUCA